rnacentral:rRNA from 1 species
CGCUACCAUGCAGUCGAGGGGUAUAGUUCUUCGGAACUAGAGACCGGCGCACGGGUGCGUAACGCGUAUGCAAUCUACCUUUCACAGAGGGAUAGCCCAGAGAAAUUUGGAUUAAUACCUCAUAGUAUAGCAGUUUCGCAUGAAACCACUAUUAAAGUCACAACGGUGAAAGAUGAGCAUGCGUCCCAUUAGCUAGUUGGUAAGGUAACGGCUUACCAAGGCAACGAUGGGUAGGGGUCCUGAGAGGGAGAUCCCCCACACUGGUACUGAGACACGGACCAGACUCCUACGGGAGGCAGCAGUGAGGAAUAUUGGACAAUGGGCGCAAGCCUGAUCCAGCCAUGCCGCGUGCAGGAUGACGGUCCUAUGGAUUGUAAACUGCUUUUAUACGAGAAGAAACCCUCCGACGUGUCGGAGCUUGACGGUAUCGUAAGAAUAAGGAUCGGCUAACUCCGUGCCAGCAGCCGCGGUAAUACGGAGGAUCCAAGCGUUAUCCGGAAUCAUUGGGUUUAAAGGGUCCGUAGGCGGUCAGGUAAGUCAGUGGUGAAAGCCCAUCGCUCAACGGUGGAACGGCCAUUGAUACUGUCUGACUUGAAUUAUUAGGAAGUAACUAGAAUAUGUAGUGUAGCGGUGAAAUGCUUAGAGAUUACAUGGAAUACCAAUUGCGAAGGCAGGUUACUACUAAUGGAUUGACGCUGAUGGACGAAAG